rnacentral:lncRNA from 1 species
GGGCGCCGUGGUCUUCUUUAUAAUUGAAGGAUUGUCUCUCUGUUUUUAUUUGGGGUGGGGGUGGGGGUGGGGGGCGGCGCAGUGACUUGCUUCGACUUUGUCAGCUUCCAGGGUUCAUUCCACUGCCCAAAUAUGUAGUGAGUUACUACCGGCUUUGCUUCCUCCUUCAGCAAACGGCUGGACCACACAACUUCAGGAGAGAGGAUUUUAAAUGUUAGGGUCAUUUUCCCUAAAACGAUUUCAAAUGACGGUGAGUUGGUUCCCAGGCUAGGCCACCUAACCUCGAACGCAAUGACGAGUGCACUCUGACUGCUGAGCUGAGAGCCUUCCGUGGCUCUGGGACCCAGUGACUCACGUGGCUCCGCAUGUCCCCGUUCCCUUAAAAUCGGAGUCUUUCCUUUUCUUGGAUUCCGGCUUGCCACCAGCACCACUUGGCAGAAUGGAAUUGCUUGCGGGCAUGUCAGUGGACUAGAAAGGGAAGUAAGUGGUCUGAGAACUUGGGGGCCAAAAAUGUUACAUUAACAUUUUUUGCCUACCUAAAAUCUCAGCCACUUCCCACAGUUUGGCUGGAAAUUCAGCCCAUGUUGAGGCCCUUCUCAUUCCUGCAGGUGUUACCAGCAACUCAGAGGUUUAUGGAGUAACGAAAUUGGGGAGGGCCUCACAUCCGGCUGCUGUUUUUCCCCCUAACGUGUAUGGUGCUUAUUCUGAGCCAGACACUUUUAAGAACUGCACAUUAUUAACCAUUUUAAAUCGUCCCCACCACCUGAUGAAAUAGGUACUGUUAUCCCCACUUUAUGGGUGGGGAAACCGAGGCCCAGGGAGGUCAAGUAACUGCGCAAAGCACAAAACUGUUGAGUAGUAGUGUUACCAGGGCAGUCCUGGAGAAAUCGCUCAGAGGGCAAAACUGAGAGCUCAUUAUUUUCUUAAACAGUAGACAGCUGAAAAUGCUCAUUGUUUUUUAAACCGUUUUGUUUGUUUGAUUUUUUUUCCUAGUCUCUUUAUCUAUAGGUAACCCAGCUUAAAACAACUGCGGUUGGCCCGGGAUCCUCACUGCCCUUUGCCAAGUACCAGAGAAAGAUAAGGCCUACUAGGAACCAGAGAAAACCAGAACCAGCCACCCCUUGUUACUUUUAGAUCAUUAAUACAUCAUUAUAUGCUCAACUCCCGACCCGUAGAAGAGAAUCGCCGCCAUUUUCUGAUAGUGCAUUGUAUGAAGAGGCAUGUUUAUGAAAUGCACCUGUGCGUCUAGAGUUCCUCCCGGCAUAUGCUUGCAUACCUCCCCACUCCACAUCUAACGCCUUACAAUUCCCCAGCUUCCCAAAGCUCUGGAAGAAGGGGGUCUUUAGAGUGAAAGUUUACUCCUUCUCUAUUCCUGGCCAGGAAUGAAACCCGCUUGCCGUUUUUUCCAGUUGGUGUGCUUUCUUUGCAACUGAUACAGACUAGGAAAAGAACGCAAUUUACCAGUAACAGUAGAGCUGGGAUUUAAAUCUAAGUGCUUUGACUUCAAAGACAAGGUUCCAAGCUGCUACACAUACCAAUUCUCGUUAAAGUGUAUUCCAUUUCUUUUGUGCUUUCAUAUUGACCAUUGUGUGUUAAUCCUUUCAAUUGGAAGAAGAGGGAGACAGUGCCAGUUAUUGCAAACUUUCACAGUCCACAGGCCCGAUAUGUAGCCUUCACCACCCACAGGUUCUGCCACUUCUGGGGCAUUAUAUUCCAUCAAGAUCCAGGCACCCGCCAUCCACAUACCAGCCCUGGAACUCGUCCCUUCUCCCAGACUUGGAAACGCCACCUCUCCCUGACCAAUGUCGAGCCACUUCCUCAUCUUGAUACAUCAGCCACUAUCCUUUCCAUCUUUCAGGCAACUCCAGCUUAAUUUCUCGAUGGCCUUGCCCUUCUAAAAGGCCGUUCUCUUUUCCCAGAUGACUUUUUCCUAUCCCCUCCACAGUAACUCCCCUCAUCCUUCCAGUCUCAAUUCAAUUGUUCCUUGGUGGGGUGGGGCGGGGGGAGCCUUCUUAAACCCUCCUCCCUCACAACUGCAUGAGGUCCCUUGUCUCUAAUAUAAGCUCCUGUAGCACCAUGGCACUUAUCCCAGUUGAGAUUUUAAAUAUAUUUCUGUGUAUUUGAUUAAAGUUUCUCUCCUCC